rnacentral:sRNA from 1 species
ACAAACGAGGCAGAGAUCGAUGAAUUUCUGCCCAUUCGCGGUCAAGUCUUGGGAGGAUCAGGUCGCCGGCGCGUUAAAUCGCUGCCACCGAGAAAUCGGGUCGAUCACGCGGGACUUCAAAAAACAAGGCUUUGGCCUUGUUUUUUUUU